rnacentral:lncRNA from 1 species
GUGGUUGAAAGGAAGUGACGUGUCAGGGGCAGGCUCUUAACCGAGUGGUGCAGAUUUGUUGGGGGCGUCACCUAGAGACUGUGUUAGCCGCUAGAUUUGUAGGGGGAAAAGCCUGGAGAUGCUGAUCUUGUUACUAUGGAUGCUGGAAACUUUAGCUAGGUACCUGCCUGUUAGUUUACCUGAAUUUAAACUUAGGUCAGGUUUUCUAAGAUGGAGUCUGAACCACAAAACUUUGUCCUCUCAAUGCCUGCAUCUUUGCUUGAUCAUUUUUAUGCAAUGAAUUUACCAUCAUCUUUUUAUUAAAAGAAAAAAAAAGAUAAAAGAAGAAAGAAAAUCUGUUGAAGAGGGGCUUAACCACAGAAUUAUGCUCUGAGAGUAAAACAUGGAAGGGGAUACUUACAACAAUGUAAUUGACAUGUUUUUUGAUGCAGAAAAUAUCCUCUUCUAGAGAAAGGGAAGCAAAAUCAAAGAGGUGUUGUGACCUGUCUGAAGUCACAGGGAAAAUGCCAGCAAAUCCCGUGUCAAACACACAACCAAGCCCACUACACACUUAAGCACUUGUGAGGUGGGUAGAUAUCAUGUCAAGUAUUCAAACUCCAGCAAAAUAAAC